UACGUAGGGUGCGAGCGUUAAUCGGAAUUACUGGGCGUAAAGCGUGCGCAGGCGGUUUUGUAAGGCGGGUGUGAAAUCCCCGGGCUUAACCUGGGAAUGGCAUUCGGGACUGCAAGGCUGGAGUGCGGCAGAGGAGACUGGAAUUCCUGGUGUAGCAGUGAAAUGCGUAGAUAUCAGGAGGAACACCGAUGGCGAAGGCAGGUCUCUGGGCUGACACUGACGCUCAUGCACGAAAGCGUGGGGAGCAAACAGG
rnacentral:rRNA from 1 species